rnacentral:rRNA from 1 species
UACGGAGGGUGCAAGCGUUAUCCGGAUUCACUGGGUUUAAAGGGUGCGUAGGCGGCUUGAUAAGUCAUUGGUGAAAGCUCGCAGCUCAACUGCGAAACUGCCAUUGAAACUGUCAAGCUUGAAUGUGGUUGAAGUGGGCGGAAUACAACAUGUAGCGGUGAAAUGCUUAGAUAUGUUUUAGAACACCGAUUGCGAAGGCAGCUCACUAAGCCAAUAUUGACGCUGAGGCACGAAAGCGUGGGUAGCAAACAGG